UUUUUUUAAUACUGUGUAAUCACUGACCCAUUUUACGCCUGCUGGCAUUAAUCAACUCUCUCCAGCCAAAUAAAAUUCUUGCUCUGGAACACGACUCCUCCGCACUGGUGUUUUUGUCUGCUUUUCUAUGAUGUGGUCUUUUCUCAAAUUAAAUGACGAGAAUGAACGUGCUAAAAAUGCUUCGAAUACCAAGAAGAGGUCUUGAUUCUAGUGGAAUAUUAAAGACGGGGUCAGCUGUGCGUGUUUACAACGACAACAGAUUUAUAGAGCUAGAAUUUAUUGCGACCAGCAUUUUCAUGGAAAUGAGGCGACUGUUUCGAGUUUGUUCUUUCAGCGAAAUGCGGGUGCUAACAUCCAAAUGGAGGAUAAAUGAUGAGCAUGAAGGUCAAGUACGAAGCACUUCUCCUGUCCAUGGAAGCUAACUAGGAUUUGUACAGGCUGAUCCAUCAGGGCUUUAGCAAGAUCUCAGAGGUGAAGUAUCGGUGCUCUGAACAUGUGUACAAGGAAAUUUCAUUUAACUCUAUACUCCACUGUGGUGACCACAAAGAAACACAUUAAAACUGACUGAAAAUCAUUAGAAAUCUCUAAAAGGAGACCACCAGAAACAGAUUAAAACCAUUAGGAGGCACUAGAAUUCUCGAAGGAGACCACUAGAAAAACAUUAAAACCAUCAGGAACCAUUAAAAUUCCCUAACACCAACAGAAACAGAUUAAAACCCCAUUAGAAACCAUUAGAAUUCGGUUCUAAUACCAACAGAAACACAUUAGGCCUCAUUACACACCAGUAGAAUUCUCCAAGAUCACCAGAAACAAGUUAAAACUCAUUAGAA